AGCUUUGCGCAGUAGCGAUGUUGUAACCAAUGAGGUUUUACCGUGGUGCGAUUAUUGCUAGUGGAAAAAAAAAUCCUAUUUAAUAGUGUAUCAUAUUUUCUACAAGCACUUUGAAACUUUUUUUUUUCUUGAUAGUGGUUUAUAUUA